GUAAUGGUAACCUAGUGGUCAUGGUCGAAGUCUCGAAUAUUUUUGUUGUGUUGUGGGUUCGAAUCCUGACCCACUUUGUA